UACGAAGGGGGCUAGCGUUGUUCGGAUUUACUGGGCGUAAAGGGCGCGUAGGCGGCAAUUCAAGUCAGCUGUGAAAUCUCCGGGCUUAACUCGGAACGGUCAGCUGAUACUGCUUUGCUAGAGUGCGGAAGGGGCAAUCGGAAUUCUCGGUGUAGCGGUGAAAUGCGUAGAUAUCGAGAGGAACACCAGUGGCGAAGGCGAGUCCCUGGACAACUCCUGACACUGAGGCACGAAAGCCUAGGGGAGCAAACAGG
rnacentral:rRNA from 1 species